CAAAUGCAGAACAGUGAAAGACUUUCGAUUCUAUUUGCUACUUCUGUUUUUCAUAGGGAGGAGCUAUACCUGGUGCAAAAUGAGCAUCAGAGUAGACUAAUAACUUCCCAGUGCUGAAGUUCACUUACAGUGCACUCAUUGUCUGUGUUUCUUCCUGCAUCUGAUAUUAUCCUGAACUGACUGAUGGCUUUCAGAAAACAGAAAGAGGUGGAGGACUGGAAAACAGCCACGUCUAUUUAUGACUUCACUGUCACAGAUAUCGAUGGCAACGAAGUGUCUCUGGAAAAAUACAGAGGCAAGGUGGUUAUCAUCACCAACGUUGCCACCCAAUGAGCCAAAGCCCCAGUGAACUACUCUCAGUUUGCACAGAUGCACGCCAAGUACGCUGAGAGAGGUUUAUCCAUCCUGGCUUUCCCAUGCAAUCAGUUUGGCAACCAGGAACCUGGCACCCAUGCACAGAUCAAACACCAUGUCAAAUCCUACAAUGUGCAAUUUGAUUUAUUCAGUAAGAUCAAAGUAAACGGACAAGAAGCUCAUGACCUGUGGAAGUGGAUGAAGGCGCAACCCAAUGGCAAAGGAUUCCUAGGAAAUGGAAUCAAAUGGAAUUUCACCAAGUUCCUCAUUGACCGAAAAGGCCAGGUUGUGAAGAGAUACUCGCCAGUGAAAGAUCCAAUUACCAAUCUGAAGGCAGCAUCACAGAAGUUCUUUCUCGAGAAGCCACUUUUUCAGUGCAGCAAUAGAAGUAGAUGUACUGAAAUAUCUGUAAACCCUGCAUUUAAUUUCACCUUGAGCUAGAUAUCCUCUUAGACAGCCAUUUCCAUUUCCAUUCCCAAUCCUCUCCUGCAGCCUGCUGGGAGUUAGUGGCGUCAUCCCAUGGAUUCAUGACAGUUUGUUUUGAAAACCGCCCUGUGGAAAGGACAAACUUGAUGCAUUUGGCGUGCAACUCCUCAUGGGAAGAUCACCAGUGCACAGAUGGUUAACUGGAAAGGGACCCCAUUCCUUCUUUACCAUAAUACUGUCUCAAGAGACCAUUACAGUUGCAGUCAGAAAUUACUCAAUGUACUCAUUUUGAAACUCUUAUAAGUUCUGAAUAAAGUCUUAAUACCACUUUA